GGGGCUGGGGCUCAGCAGUAGAGCACUCGCCUAGCACAUGUGAGGCCCUGGGUUCAAUCCUCAGCAGCUCGU
rnacentral:tRNA from 1 species